GACGAACGCUGGCGGCGUGCCUAAUACAUGCAAGUAGAACGCUGAAGCUUGGUGCUUGCACCGAGCGGAUGAGUUGCGAACGGGUGAGUAACGCGUAGGUAACCUGCCUGGUAGCGGGGGAUAACUAUUGGAAACGAUAGCUAAUACCGCAUAAAAUGGAUUAUCGCAUGAUAAUCCAUUGAAAGGUGCAAAUGCAUCACUACCAGAUGGACCUGCGUUGUAUUAGCUAGUUGGUGGGGUAACGGCUCACCAAGGCGACGAUACAUAGCCGACCUGAGAGGGUGAUCGGCCACACUGGGACUGAGACACGGCCCAGACUCCUACGGGAGGCAGCAGUAGGGAAUCUUCGGCAAUGGACGGAAGUCUGACCGAGCAACGCCGCGUGAGUGAAGAAGGUUUUCGGAUCGUAAAGCUCUGUUGUAAGAGAAGAACGAGUGUGAGAGUGGAAAGUUCACACUGUGACGGUAUCUACCAGAAA
rnacentral:rRNA from 1 species